AAAAUAAUAUGGUGCGAAUUUAUGCAUUUAUUAUUAUUAUACAUCAAAUCAUUGUAAAUUUCCAUAAUAAUAAUUUCAAAGAUAUAGUUUAAACUUAUAGUUAAGACUAGUUAUACAUCAACUAUUAGGCCCAAUAGGGUCCUAAUUACACCUUUGUCUUGAUAAGGACCGAAAAAGAGGACACUACUGAGACAUUUAAAAAUAUACACUGUAUAGUCCUUAAGACCUUGAUAAAUUCCAAAGAGUUAGAAAAGUUAUUUUUGGCAGAUAUGUUCUUAUCUAAUUUAAGGUAGUAGUUCUACCAGAGAAGUUGAGUUAUUAAACAGUCUGAGGUAAGGAUAUGAGACUACAGUACUCAAGUAAGUUGUGGUCAAUUAGAUCCUGAUUCAGAUAAGAUUUUC
rnacentral:lncRNA from 1 species